rnacentral:rRNA from 1 species
AUACGUAGGGGGCAAGCGUUAUCCGGAUUUACUGGGUGUAAAGGGAGCGUAGACGGAAGGCCAAGUCUGAUGUGAAAGCCCGCGGCUCAACUGCGGGACUGCAUUGGAAACUGGUCAUCUGGAGUGCAGGAGGGGUAAGCGGAAUUCCUAGUGUAGCGGUGAAAUGCGUAGAUAUUAGGAGGAACACCGGUGGCGAAGGCGGCUUACUGGAUUGAAACUGACGUUGAGGAUCGAAAGCGUGGGGAGCAAACAGGAUUAGAUACCCUGGUAUUCCACGCCGUAAACGAUGAAUACUAGGUGUCGGGUUUCUAUAGAGAUCCGGUGCCGCAGCAAACGCAAUAAGUAUUCCACCUGGGGAGUACGUUCGCAAGAAUGAAACUCAAAUGAAUUGACGGGG